rnacentral:rRNA from 1 species
GACAGAGGGUGCAAACGUUGCUCGGAAUUACUGGGCGUAAAGCGCGUGUAGGUGGUGGGACAAGUCUGCUGUGAAAGCGCCUGGCUUAACCGGGCGAGGUCGGCGGAAACUGUCCGACUAGAGGACGGUAGAGGGGGUGGAAUUCCCGGUGUAGUGGUGAAAUGCGUAGAGAUCGGGAGGAACACCUGUGGCGAAGGCGGCCCCCUGGCCGGCCCUGACACUGAGCGCGAAGGCGUGGGGAGCGAACGGG